rnacentral:rRNA from 1 species
UACGAAGGGGGCUAGCGUUGUUCGGAAUCACUGGGCGUAAAGGGCGCGUAGGCGGCCGAUCAAGUCGGGGGUGAAAGCCUGUGGCUCAACCACAGAAUUGCCUUCGAUACUGUUUGGCUUGAGACCGGAAGAGGUUAGUGGAACUGCGAGUGUAGAGGUGAAAUUCGAUAGAUAUUCGCAAGAACACCAGUGGCGAAGGCGGCUGACUGGUCCGGUUCUGACGCUGAGG